rnacentral:rRNA from 1 species
CCUACGGGAGGCAGCAGUGGGGAAUAUUGGACAAUGGGCGAAAGCCUGAUCCAGCCAUGCCGCGUGUGUGAAGAAGGCCUUCGGGUUGUAAAGCACUUUCGGUGGGGAAGAAAGCCUUGGGGCUAAUACCCUCGAGGAAGGACAUCACCCACAGAAGAAGCACCGGCUAACUCCGUGCCAGCAGCCGCGGUAAUACGGAGGGUGCGAGCGUUAAUCGGAAUUACUGGGCGUAAAGCGCGCGUAGGCGGUCUGAUAAGCCGGUUGUGAAAGCCCCGGGCUCAACCUGGGAACGGCAUCCGGAACUGUCAGGCUAGAGUGCAGGAGAGGAAGGUAGAAUUCCCGGUGUAGCGGUGAAAUGCGUAGAGAUCGGGAGGAAUACCAGUGGCGAAGGCGGCCUUCUGGACUGACACUGACGCUGAGGUGCGAAAGCGUGGGUAGCAAACAGGAUUAGAUACCCCGGUAGUC